rnacentral:rRNA from 1 species
AUGACCUCCUGCUCCAGCUGCUCGUCCCGCCACCAGCAGCGCCUGCCUGCCUCGGCCUCCCGCGCAACAUUCUGAUGCAGAGGCCGGGGGUUAUCCUCCUUUUCAAAAAAAGUUAAAUACUCAACUUGUAAAGGAACAACAAUUGACCAUAACAAUAUUGUCAUUCUUGCUUUGACAGAGAAAAUGGAUCUCCCAGACCUCAACUUCACUCCACCUGCAGAAGAUGUGGAUGGAAUGGAUGAAGAUGCAGAAAAUGAAAUGGAAGGACAUGUAGGAAAUGAUAUGGAAGGAGAUGCCGGAGAGGGAAUGGAAGGAGAUGAAAUUGUUCAAAAUCCAGGUGUUUUGGAGGAAUUUGAAGGCUAUGAUGUUUACAAGCUCAACAGAAUUUUCCUAACUCUACAAAUGUGCAUGAUUGAGAUCAUGAACCAUGCGGGGGGAAAUGGGUAUAAAAUACCACAUGUUAACAAGGAAAGGCUUGAGGGUCUUGGGCAGCUACCUCCAAGACUAACAUGCCCGAAAGAGGUUUACACGAAUGCCCUAUACAACUUAGAGAUGCUUGACAUGAGGCUUGUUCAGAUGCUUGAGAUGAGGCUUGUUCCGAUGCUUGACAUGAGGCUUGUUCAGAUGCUUGAGAUGAGGCUUGUUCCGAUGCUUGAGAUAAGGCUUGUUCAGAUGCUUGACACGAGGCUUGUUCAUAUGCUUGACAUGAGGCUUGUUCCGAUGCUUGAGAUGAGGCUUGUUCAGAUGCUUGACAUGAGGCUUGUUCAGAUGCUUGAGAUGAGGCUUGUUCAGAUGCUUGACAUGAGGCUUGUUGGAUGCUUGAGAUGA